UACGGGGGGAGCAAGCGUUGUUCGGAUUUACUGGGCGUAAAGGGCGUGUAGGCGGCCACCGCAAGUCGACUGUGAAAUCUCCGGGCUUAACUCGGAAAGGUCAGCCGAUACUGCGGGGCUAGAGUGCAGAAGGGGCAACUGGAAUUCUCGGUGUAGCGGUGAAAUGCGUAGAUAUCGAGAGGAACACCUGCGGCGAAGGCGGGUUGCUGGGCUGACACUGACGCUGAACUGCGAAAGCUAGGGGAGCGAACGGG
rnacentral:rRNA from 1 species